AAUGGGGGCAACCCUGAUCCAGCCAUGCCGCGUGUGUGAAGAAGGCCUUCGGGUUGUAAAGCACUUUCAGCGGGGAGGAAGGCAUCAUGGCUAAUAUCCAUGGUGAUUGACGUUACCCGCAGAAGAAGCACCGGCUAACUCCGUGCCAGCAGCCGCGGUAAUACGGAGGGUGCAAGCGUUUAUCGGAAUUACUGGGCGUAAAGCGCGCGUAGGCGGCUUGUUAAGUCAGAUGUGAAAUCCCCGGGCUCAACCUGGGAAUUGCAUCUGAUACUGGCGAGCUGGAGUGCGAUAGAGGGGGGUAGAAUUCCUAGUGUAGCGGUGAAAUGCGUAGAUAUUAGGAGGAAUACCGGUGGCGAAGGCGGCCCCCUGGAUCGACACUGACGCUGAGGUGCGAAAGCGUGGGUAGCAAA
rnacentral:rRNA from 1 species